CGUACAGCACAAGGCCCAGUUUGUUAUAUAUCUCUUUCACGAUUUAGGCCCAAUUGUGUUGCCAUUAGUCUAUUUUAAGUCUAUAAAGAAUCAACAAAAAUUUCCAGUAAGACCCAAAGAAGAAUGGAAACAACGAACAGGUUGAAGCUCAAAUCAAUGAGAAAACAAAUGAUACGAGGACAAGAGUUAAAGCAGAAUCAAAGUUUUGUGAUCGAUUACAGAUAAUUUGUUUCGUCGACAAGGAUUCAAGGACUUGGAGGUGGGGGAAACGAGAUUGAGCCUGUUCGGUUUCUUUCUCCCUUUCAUUUUGCGUACAGCACAAGGCCCAAUUUGUUAUAUAUCUCUUUCACGAUUUAGACCCAAUUGUGUAGCCAUUAGUCUAUUUUAAGUCUAUAAAAAAUCAACAAAAAUUUCCAGUAAGACCCAAAGAAGAAUGGAAACAACGAACAGGUUGAAGCUCAAAUCAAUGAGAAAACAAAUGAUACGAGGACAAGAGUUAAAGCAGAAUCAAAGUUUUGUGAUCGAUUACAGAUAAUUUGUUUCGUCGACAAGGAUUCAAGGACUUGGAAGUGGGGGAAACGAGAUUGAGCCUGUUCGGUUUCUUUCUCCAUUUCAUUUUGCGUACAGCACAAUGCCCAAUUUGUUAUAUAUCUCUUUCACGAUUUAGGCCAAAUUGUGUAGCCAUUAGUCUAUUUUAAGUCUAUAAAGAAUCAACAAAAAUUUUCAGUAAGACCCAAAGAAGAAUGGAAACAACGAACAGGUUGAAGCUCAAAUCAAUGAGAAAACAAAUGAUACGAGGACAAGAGUUAAAGCAGAAUCAAAGUUUUGUGAUCGAUUACAGAUAAUUUGUUUCGUCGACAAGGAUUCAAGGACUUGGAGGUGGGGGAAACGAGAUUGAGCCUGUUCGGUUUCUUUCUCCAUUUCAUUUUGCGUACAGCACAAGGCCCAAUUUGUUAUAUAUCUCUUUCACGAUUUAGGCCCAAUUGUGUAGCCAUUAGUCUAUUUUAAGUCUAUAAAGAAUCAACAAAAAUUUCCAGUAAGACCCAAAGAAGAAUGGAAACAACGAACAGGUUG
rnacentral:lncRNA from 1 species